GACGAACGCUGGCGGCGCGCCUAACACAUGCAAGUCGAACGGAGUCGUGUUGAAAGCUUGCUGGAUAUACAACUUAGUGGCGGACGGGUGAGUAACACGUGAGUAACCUGCCUCUCAGAGUGGAAUAACGUUUGGAAACGAACGCUAAUACCGCAUAACGUGAGAAGAGGGCAUCCUCUUUUUACCAAAGAUUUAUCGCUGAGAGAUGGGGCUCGCGGCCGAUUAGGUAGUUGGUGAGAUAACAGCCCACCAAGCCGACGAUCGGUAGCCGGACUGAGAGGUUGAUCGGCCACAUUGGGACUGAGACACGGCCCAGGCUCCUACGGGAGGCAGCAGUGGGGGAUAUUGCACAAUGGGGGAAACCCUGAUGCAGCGACGCCGCGUGAGGGAAGACGGUUUUCGGAUUGUAAACCUCUGUCUUUAGGGACGAAAAAAUGACGGUACCUAAGGAGGAAGCCACGGCUAACUACGUGCCAGCAGCCGCGGUAAUACGUAGGUGGCAAGCGUUGUCCGGAAUUACUGGGUGUAAAGGGAGCGUAGGCGGGAGACAAGUUGAAUGUCUAAACUAUCGGCUUAACUGAUAGUCGCGUUCAAAACUAUCACUCUUGAGUGCAGUAGAGGUAGGCGGAAUUCCUAGUGUAGCGGUGAAAUGCGUAGAUAUUAGGAGGAACACCAGUGGCGAAGGCGGCCUACUGGGCUGUAACUGACGCUGAGGCUCGAAAGCGUGGGUAGCAAAAAAGAUUAGAUACCCUGGUAGUCCACGCCGCAACCGAUGAUUACUAGGUGUGGGGGGAGUGACCCCUUCCGUGCCGGAGUUAACACAAUAAGUAAUCCACCUGGGGAGUACGACCGCAAGGUUGAAACUCAAAGGAAUUGACGGGGGCCCGCACAAGCAGUGGAGUAUGUGGUUUAAUUCGAAGCAACGCGAAGAACCUUACCAGGUCUUGACAUCGAGCGACGAACUUAGAGAUAAGUUCUUCCUUCGGGACGCGAAGACAGGUGGUGCAUGGUUGUCGUCAGCUCGUGUCGUGAGAUGUUGGGUUAAGUCCCGCAACGAGCGCAACCCUUAUCAUUAGUUGCUACGCAAGAGCACUCUAAUGAGACUGCCGUUGAUAAAACGGAGGAAGGUGGGGAGGACGUCAAAUCAUCAUGCCCCUUAUGACCUGGGCUACACACGUACUACAAUGGUGAUCAAACAGAGGGAAGCAACACAGCGAUGUGAAGCAAAUCCCGAAAAAUCAUCUCAGUUCAGAUUGCAGGCUGCAACUCGCCUGCAUGAAGUCGGAAUUGCUUGUAAUCGCGGAUCAGCAUGCCG
rnacentral:rRNA from 1 species